rnacentral:rRNA from 1 species
CCUACGGGAGGCAGCAGUGAGGAAUAUUGGUCAAUGGGCGUAAGCCUGAACCAGCCAAGUCGCGUGAGGGAUGAAGGUUCUAUGGAUCGUAAACCCCUUUUAUAAGGGAAUAAAGUGUGGGACGUGUCCUAUUUUGUAUGUACCUUAUGAAUAAGGAUCGGCUAACUCCGUGCCAUCCGCCGCGGUAAUACGGAGGAUCCGAGCGUUAUCCGGAUUUAUUGGGUUUAACGGGUGCGUAGGCGGCCGUUUAUGUCAGCGGUGAAAGUCUGUGGCUCAACCAGAGAAUUGCCGUUGAAACUGGCGGGCUUGAGUAUGUUAGAGGCAGGCGGAAUGCGUGGUGUAGCGGUGAAAUGCGUAGAUAUCACGCAGAACCCCGGUGGCGAAGGCAGCCUGCCAGGCCAUGACUGACGCUGAUGCACGAAAGCGUGGGGAGCAAACAGGAUUAGAUACCCGAGUAGUC